GACGAGGGAUCCUAGCGUUGUUCGGAAUCAUUGGGCGUAAAGCGGGUGUAGGUGGCUCUGUAAGUCAAGUGUGAAAGCCCCGGGCUCAACCUGGGAAGUGCAUUUGAUACUGCGGAGCUUGAGUGCUAGAGAGGUCAUUAGAAUACCUGGUGUAGUGGUGAAAUACGUAGAUAUCAGGUGGAAUACCAGAGGCGAAGGCGGAUGGCUGGCUAGACACUGACACUCAGACCCGAAAGCGUGGGGAUCAAACAGG
rnacentral:rRNA from 1 species